rnacentral:rRNA from 1 species
AGUGAACGCUGGCGGUAGGCCUAACACAUGCAAGUCGAACGGCAGCACAGGAGAGCUUGCUCUCUGGGUGGCGAGUGGCGGACGGGUGAGGAAUACAUCGGAAUCUACUCUGUCGUGGGGGAUAACGUAGGGAAACUUACGCUAAUACCGCAUACGACCUACAGGUGAAAGCAGGGGACCUUCGGGCCUUGCGCGAUUGAAUGAGCCGAUGUCGGAUUAGCUAGUUGGCGGGGUAAAGGCCCACCAAGGCGACGAUCUGUAGCUGGUCUGAGAGGAUGAUCAGCCACACUGGAACUGAGACACGGUCCAGACUCCUACGGGAGGCAGCAGUGGGGAAUAUUGGACAAUGGGCGCAAGCCUGAUCCAGCCAUACCGCGUGGGUGAAGAAGGCCUUCGGGUUGUAAAGCCCUCUUGUUGGGAAAGAAAUCCAGCUGGCUAAUACCCGGUUGGGAUGACGGUACCCAAAGAAUAAGCACCGGCUAACUUCGUGCCAGCCGCCGCAGUAA